AGGGGAGUGAGAGUUUAUAAAGACAAACAGGCAGCAAGAACUUUAAAACGGAUACGUAGGCAUGAAAGUGCAGAAAGAAUGCCUAGAGAACAAGUAGUGGUGCAAAAGGAAAAACACGAGAGCAAAUAACUAGAAGGAUGCAAUGCACAAAGAUCAUGAUAAUAUGGGCUUCUAUGAAGCAGAAGUAGUUGAAGAAAUAAUGUACACUUAAGUCCAAAAUGUAGAUAAAGUCACCAAACAUCUUAUAAACAACUUUAAAUGUUUAUCCCUGAACUUCAUAUUUUUAAAAAUUGUAGAUGGAAGACGAAAUUCAUUCUUGGAACUCACAAACUAAGAUCACCUUAUAAUGUUAUCAAGACUCCAAGCAUUAGAAUAAGUUCCCCUUCUUUUACCUUUUAUUGAUGAGUAAAUAAAAAAAUGCUCAUGCUCAUGCAAUAGGCAUUCUUGAUAAAUGAUAACACUGAUGGACAAUAUUCAGCAGUGCUUUGAGAGGGAAUUCAUUCUUGGAACAAAACAAGAUAGACAUUCUUUAAUGUUUUCAAAACUAUAGCAUUGGAAAGAACCAACAACAACCGACCUUAGCUCAGUUGGUAGAGCGGAGGACUGUAGUGGGGUGUAAACCUUUCAGAUAUCCUUAGGUCGCUGGUUCGAAUCCGGCAGGUCGGAUUGAUUCUUUUUUCUUUCUAUUUUUUUAAAAAAGAAUUAUUUUAUUCUGGAGAAGAGGGCUUUGUCAUAUAAUAUAAUCCCACUCUGACAAGAGUGCAUGAACAUUAUUUAUUAUCAUUUCUUCAGCAAUAGCAACCUAUAUAAUUUUAUUGUUGUGUCAGUAGUGUAAGAUUCCCUGCCAUCUCCAAUUUUACAAUCCAGGCAGAAAACAAGCACUCAACUCUCACAAAUGUCUUGAAAUACCAAUCAUUUAUCGAAUUUCAAGAAUAUAUACAGACAUAUAAGAUUUGAUAAAGGGUGGUGGAGGGGAAGGAAAGAGUUAACAUACACAAACAGACAACAACUUGAAACCAAUACUAUGCAUGAAAAUGCACAAGGAAUACCUAGAGAUGAAGUAGUGGUGUAAAAGGAACAACACGAGUAUGGUGUAAAAGGAACAACAUGAAAAUACUUAAAAAGGUCAUUGCAUAACUCCAUAUCACUGGUGAAAAACAUUAAGCAGUAGCUUUGAGUGGAAACUCAUUCUUGGAACAAAACAAGAUAAAGACAUUUUAUUAACGUUUUCAAAACCAUAUCAUUAGAAAGAACCAACAGCAACCGACCUUAGCUCAGUUGGUAGAGCGGAGGACUGUAGUGGGGUGUAAACCUUUCAGAUAUCCUUAGGUCGCUGGUUCGAAUCCGGCAGGUCGGAUUUAUUCUUUUGCCAUCUUUUUUUUAUAUAUGUAAAGGACUUACCAUAUAAUAUACUCCUACUCUAGCAAGUGGUACAUGAAAAGAGUUUACUACCAUUUUCUUUGGUAAUAGCAGCUUAUAAAAUAUAUUUUUGUGUCAGUACUGUGAGAUUCCCUGUAAUCUCCAAUUUCUUAAUCCAGACAGAGGCUUAAGAUUUCAGUAAAAAAAACAAGACUCACAAUAACUGACUUCUCUAAAAACCAAUAUAACAAAACAAGCACUCAACAGUCACAAAUGUCUUGAUAUACCAACCGUAUAACAAAUUUCGAGAAUAUAUACUACACAUGAUAUUUGAGGAAGAGAAAAGGGGCACCAGGGCGGUGGAGGGGAGUGAGAGUUUAUAUAGACAAACAGACAGCAAGAACUUUAAACCAAUACUUAGGCAUGAAAAUGCAGAAAGAAUGCCUAGAGAACAAGUAGUGGUGCAAAUGGAAAAAUACAAGCGCAAAUAACAAGAAGGACACAAUGCACAUAGAUCAUGAUAAUUUAGCCUUGGUAGAUAAAGUCACCAAACAUCUUAUAACCAGCUUUAAAUGUUUCUUCCUCAACUUCAUAUAAGCAUUAGCAUGAGUUUCCCCUUCUUUUACCUUUUUUGACAAGUAAAAAAUGCUCAUGCAAUAGGCAUUCUUGAGAACACUGAUGGACAAUAUUCAGCAGUGCUUUGAGAGGGAAUUCAUUCUUGGAACAAAACAAGAUAGACAUUCUUUAAUGUUUACAAAACCAUAGCAUUGGAAAGAACCAACAACAACCGACCUUAGCUCAGUUGGUAGAGCGGAGGACUGUAGUGGGGUGUAAAACCUUUCAGAUAUCCUUAGGUCGCUGGUUCGAAUCCGGCAGGUCGGAUUGAUUCUUUUGCCAUGUUCUUUUUCUAUUUAUUUUUUUAAAUCAUUGUUUUAUUCUGGAGAAAAGAAGCUUGCCAUAUAAUGUACUCCCACUCUGACAACAGUAUUUAAUAUCAUUUCUUCAGCAAUAGCAACCUAUAUAAUUUUAUUGUUGUGACAGUAGUGUGAGAUUCCCUGCAAUCUCCAAUUUUAUAAUCCAGGCAGAAAACAAGCACUCAACUCUCACAAAUGUCUUGAAAUACCAAUCAUUUAUCAAAUUUCAAGAAUAUAUACAGACAUAUUAGAUUUGAUAAAGAUAGGGGAACCAGGGUGGUGGAGGGGAAGGAAAGAGUUAACAUAGACAAACAGACAACAGCUUGAAACCAAUACUAUGCAUGAAAAUGCACAAGGAAUACAUAGAGAUAAAGUAGUGGUGCAAAAGGAACAACACAAGAACAAAUAAUUGAAUGGAUGCAAUGCACAUAGUUCAUGGUAAUUUGCGCUUCUGUGGAGGAGAACUGGUCUUCUAUGCAGCAGAACUAGUUGAAGAAAUAAUGUACACUUUAGUCCAAAAGGUAGAUAAGUCACCAAAUAUCUAAUAAACAACUUCAAAGUUUCUUCCACAACUUCAUAUUCAUUAAAAAUGUAGACGGAAGACGAAAUUCAUUCUUGGGAUUCACAAAGUAAGAUCACCUUACUUAUAAUGUUAUCAAGACUCCAAGUCAAGGUAAGCAUUAGAAUGAGUUCCUCUUCUUUUACCUUUUCUUGAUAAGAAAAAAAAAAGUGAUCAUGCUCAAGCAACUGAUGGACAAUAUUCAGCAGAAAAUUCAUUCUUGGAACAAAACAAGAUAGACAUUCUUUAAUGUUUUCAAAACUAUAGCAUUGGAAAGAACCAACAACAACCGACCUUAGCUCAGUUGGUAGAGCGGAGGACUGUAG
rnacentral:lncRNA from 1 species